UAUGGAUAUCAGGAACUGGACCCGGUUGCUGCCAAGUUUCGUGAACUGGUCGUGGAUAAUAAGGAUCGUAUCGUUCCGGAUCAAGAUGCUUAACAUUUUGUCCUGGUUAUCAACGAGUGACUCAAAGCAAGUAAAUGGCAAAUUUUACCGUAUGGUAAAUGCCUGAUAAUUCAGUUGCAUGCCAUCAAUUGACAAGCCACAAGGAACCUUGACGUAUACAUUUUUCAUGGUGGAUAGUUCUCUCACCGUUAUUGUUUACCGGUUUUACUAUACACGCUUUUUAUUCGGCCAUUCACUUGAUAGAUCCGACUUCUUCUAUCAUCAUGACUAGACGUAGAGGCAGCAUGUAAACAUGGCUGAAUUCCAUAAAUGUCGUUGCCGUGUUGCUGAUCGAACAAGACAUAGGACAAGAAAAUAAAUAUGCAAAUAUAUAUAGCCGGAGAUUGAAAUAAAUAAAACGAUCCACUCUCACUA